rnacentral:misc_RNA from 1 species
CUCCAUAUCUUGUAAUCAUAGUCCCAACUUCCUGUAUACUGUACCCCCUUCCAAAGAAAAAUUCUGUCACAGGCUUCAAAUUGGAUUCAAUACUGAGGCCAAAAGUCUGUGGACAUCGGUGGAGAAGAACAGCAACAUCAACUCCCAAUGAACGGAAAUAUUCAGCCGUUGGCCGUAGUUUGUCCUCCACACUGUAACUUAUAAUGUUUGGGCAACGUGUUAGAAUCUUACCAAUGCUCUCUGCCGAGAG